GGGCGAGUAGCCGAAUUGGUACAGGCGCAUGGCUUAGGACCAUGUCUCGCAAGAGGUGGGGGUUCGAGUCCCCCCUCGCCCA
rnacentral:tRNA from 2 species